UUUUUGUGAACCUUUUUCCUGUGUACAUUUUUCGUGUAUACUUUUUUCUGGUCACCGUUUUUGAGUAAAUAUUCGAAAAAAAAACUUUAUGACGUCUCAGUAAGUUUUAAAUGUCAAAAAAAAUUCAACAGGCGUAAGCAAAAGACAACAUUAUAUUGUUAUUCGGAAGUAAAAUUACCGUUGGGGGCGCCACUGAGCUAGGUCAAAAACAGUAACCAUAAAUGGAGGGAAAAUGUUUAUUCGGAUAUUUUGAGCGUUGUACGAAUUUUGGGGCUUCACAAUUAUUACAUUGCCUAUGCGGAAUGAUUAUUGCAUCUUUGAUGCAAGAAACUUAUGUUGACAAAUGAGAGAUGACGAGGAAAACACGAAUAACGAAUGACUGUUUGGUUCACUUUCUUUAUUGGAAAAUUAUUACAAAGACAUUGAAAAGCCUACCUUUUGGCAUAAUUUACGUUUAAAUGUAUCAGCAGUUGUUAAUCUUUAUUGUAGUUUUGCAGAUUUACCGCAUUUCAUGAUUUUUUCAGUGGAAAAUUCUAACCUAAAAUUCAUAACACUUCACUAAUUUAUUGGUUUCUUGAGCCAAACUUUGUGUUCGCUGUGAUCCAUUACUUAUAAUCUUUAAUUAGACAACUGUUUGAUAACACUUUGUAAUCAAAAUUUAAAUAUUUUUCACUUUUUAUCCACUUUCAAGUUCCAACAAUAAACACUUUAUACCACGAAAAACUACAGAACCAAAGUCAACGCUAGUAUUUACCACCACGUACUUUUAAAGUAAUUCUUUCUAUUGUAAAUAAUUAACACUAUACACGCAAAAUUGUUGAACAAUUCAUUAAAUGUCAGUUAAAUGUGGCAUUACGAAAAUUUCUUUACUGUUUUCGACAUAGUUCAAAAGUCAUCACCAGAGGGCGUCUAGUUAAUUUUAUUUCCGAAUACAGAAAAAUUAUACAGUUAUUACACAGAAAAAUGGGAAUUUAUUUUUUCUUUUUAUGUUACCGACCAAACAAAUAUGUAAGUACAGUUGUACAGUUCAUUUUUUUAAACAAUGAACUCCCAAUAAUAAAUUAAGUUCAUGUCCAAGUACUUUCGAAACUAUAUCCCAUUUCAGUUCAUAGUAGAAUUUUGCAACAGUGCAUUUGAAUUUUUUGGAGUGAAAUAAAGUACAAAUUGAAAGUUUCUGUAUACGAAAAAAAAUCUAUGUUAAACUAAAACUUAUUAAAAACUCCCAAUUUGUGCUCCAUUUCACUCCAAAAAAUUGUUGCAAAAUUCUAUUGCGACCUGAAAUGGGCAUUAACUGUAUUUUGUGUUUGACAUUUUGUACACCGUAUUUGACAAUCGAAACGGUCAUUGAAAUUUAAAUUCUUUAAUGGUUGAAAUAACUCCAUGUGUAUACUUGAAGACAACAUAAAAAUUUGUAGAAAUUAUUAAAAUGAAUCUACCAGAUUAUAAAAAAAUCGACUAAAGGUGCUAAAACUAUGGUGUGGAUUGUGGAUUGCUCCAGCAUGAAAACACCUUAAAAAUUGUUUAAAGUAAAAGAAUGAACCUUAUUACCUUUCAUGCUGAGCUCCUCCUCGAGUUCUCGCCAGUUGUUUGGGUCCUGGAUGUACUUGAGCAUUUCCUCGUAGCCGAUGAGGAAGUCUUUCGGGUCCCGGUCGGCGUACAAAAGGAGAUCAGCGAGGAUUUGGCGGCCGGCGUCAGCGAACCAAAUAUAAUUCGACCUGUCACGCAAAAUAUACUGAAAAGCGAGCCGAAGGCAGUGCAGCUUUGCCAGGUAUUCUCCAUCGGAGCCACAUUUCACCAGUUCGGUGCGUAGCGUCCGGCAGGGGAUGCCCCCGUUUUCGAGGUGGCGCAGCGCCGCCUGGUACAAGGGGAACUGCUCCAAGUCGGGGAAGUAGUCGGAAAAUUCCUCAAAUUCCCGCAAGUCGGCUACCUACAACAUUUACAGAAAAAAAGUGUUUUUCUGUUUUUAUUUUGAGACUUACAACAUCCUGAGCUGAGGCAAAACUCUCCCCUCCUGAUAAAUCAGCAUCGAUUCCAUUUUCUGAAAGAUGGGUCCCACUUUCAGGCCUGAACAACACCGACCUUUGGUCCAAAAACAACAUUUCUGCUUUAUCUUGUAGUUCUAUAGCCACGUCCAAUAAAUGUUGAA